GAUGAACGCUAGCGGCAGGCUUAAUACAUGCAAGUCGAGGGGUAGCAAGAUUGUAGCAAUACAAUUGUUGACGACCGGCAAACGGGUGCGGAACACGUACACAACCUUCCUACAAGUGGGGAAUAGCCCAGAGAAAUUUGGAUUAAUACCCCGUAACAUAGCGAUGUGGCAUCACAUUGCUAUUAUAGCUUCGGCGCUUGUUGAUGGGUGUGCGGCUGAUUAGAUAGUCGGCGGGGUAACGGCCCACCAAGUCUACGAUCAGUAGCUGAUGUGAGAGCAUGAUCAGCCACACGGGCACUGAGACACGGGCCCGACUCCUACGGGAGGCAGCAGUAAGGAAUAUUGGACAAUGGACGCAAGUCUGAUCCAGCCAUGCCGCGUGAAGGAUUAAGGUCCUCUGGAUUGUAAGCUUCUUUUAUAAGGGACGAAAAAAGGUCUUUCUAGAUCGUCUGACGGUACCUUAUGAAUAAGCACCGGCUAACUCCGUGCCAGCCGCCGCGGUAAGAC
rnacentral:rRNA from 1 species